UCUCCGUUGGUGAACCAGCGGAGGGAUCAUUACCGAAGUUACCCUUCAAACCCAAUGUGAACCUUACCCCUUGCCGCGUUGCCUCGGCGGGAGGUCUGGGGUGGGUCCGGGGAAGCCCCUCAGCGGGCCGACCCGUCCCGCCCCCGGCCCCCGCCGGCCGCGCCAAACUCUUCAUUUGCAAAGCGGACUGCAUGCUCUGAUUUAGAUUUUGAAAACAAGUCAAAACUUUCAACAACGGAUCUCUUGGUUCUG
rnacentral:misc_RNA from 1 species